GUCGUGGCUUGGGUUUUGCCAGCUGGCGUGAUCUCCUCUAUGAGUAAUCAUGUGAGGUGCCAGAUCUAUGGCGUUUCCCUAAUGUAUCCGGAUGCACCCUUGUCUUGGCAGAAAGCCGUGGUGAGGUGCAGUGGCGGAAUCGUGGUUUAAUAAUCGGGUUGGUACUCAGUUGUCAGUGUGUUUGGCGAUCCCCUAGUCGGCACACUUAUGAUUUCUGGGAUAAUUCCAUACCAGGCACGUUCCGUCACUGUCACUUUGUCAUUGGUUUGAUGCUGAACUUGGUCAUGUGUCUGAUGCUAUUUUCAUAUAGCGACGGUACCCUUCGUGGUCUGUCUUCCUGACCUCGGUUCAGACGUGAUUACCCGCUGAACUUAAGCAUAUC
rnacentral:rRNA from 1 species